CAGUCAGAGUGGAAAAUCUUAGGUUAGGAGAAGGGCCCUUAGUUCUUCUUUAAGAUAAAGAAAUAGAAAAGAAGUAAUACAUACAAAGUAUUUUGGGGGGAUGGGAGCAUAGCUCAGUGGUAGAGCAGUUGCCUACCAUUCAUGAGGCCCUAUUAAAAAAAAGUAUUAGUAUAUUGCUAUAUUUAAAUUCUAUAGUUCACCUUUAAAAUUUAAUCAAAAAGCUGAGCAUGGUGGCACAUGCCUGUAAUCUCAACUGUCAGGAGGGCUGAGGCAUGAGAAUUUCCAGUUUGAGGCCAGACUGGACAACAUAGUGAGACCUUGUCUCAAAUAAAUAAAAUUUCAAAAAUAAAAUUCAAGGCCAAGCACCAUAGCCCAACUACUUAGGAGGCAGAAAUGGGGAAGAUCAUGGUUCCAGGCCAGCCGGGGCAAAAAGUUCAUGUGACCCCCAUCUCACUAAACGAGUUGGCAUGGUGUGUAUUUUUGUCAUCUUAGCUACGUGAGAAGUAGAAAUUGGAAGAUCGUGGUCUAGAUCUGCCUAAGGAAAAUUAUGAAAAAUAACUAAAGCAAAAGAGUUGGGGGUGCGGUUUAAGUGGUAGAGCAUCUGCCUAGCAAGCAUGAGGUCCUGGAUUCAAAAUUCCAGUACUGCCCAAAAAAUGAAUCAAUCAAUAAAAUCUAUUUAGCCUCUUGAGCUGUUUGCUCUGUUCUGAAUUUCCUACCUCUUUCGCAGUGAUUUGUGUGGUAAUGACUCCGUGGGUGGUACCCCAGUGUCCCUGUUAACCACCAGCCUUCACUGCUUGGCUUUUCAUAAGGGUGGAGGUAAUUAGAUGUGGGCCAGUGACUGUUCCUUGGAUUGAGUGUCAUUAGUGGAGUAUCCUCUGAAAUAUGGGAGUCUUGGAACCCAUCCUCAGAGGAUACAAGGGAUAACUGUCUUACUUUUUCCUUCCUUAUUUUUGUCAACAUUGCGAUCACAGGACUCAGCUCUGGUUUGUUCGCUUAUAUUGUUCAGUAUACCUGUGAAACGGGGCUGGAGGAGUGGCUCAAGCAGUAGAGUGCCUACCUAGCAAGUGCAAAGCCCUGAGUUCAAAUGCCAGCACCCCCCCAUACACACCCUGCAAAGAAAGGCUUGUCAAACAGAACAGUGCCAUUAUCUGUUUUACUAUCCGUGGACACUUGAACUGUUUCUAGCUUUUAGCUCUUAGGAAAAAUGCUGUCAAGAACAUCUUACAUAUCUCCCAGUACAGUUGUGCAAAACCUUUUGGAGGGUGUUAUGUGGAGGGUGAUUGCUGGGGCAUAGAAUAUUUGUCUUUUUAACUUCAUGCUAUAAUUCCAAACUCUUUCUCAAUGUGAUUAUUCAAGUUCCUGCUUGCUCUAAAGUGACUGAGAGAUUUUUUGAAGUGUUUUUCAGCUUUUUUGAGGUAUGACUGACAAAUAUGAUUAUAUGUAUUUGAGGUAUACAACCU
rnacentral:lncRNA from 1 species